rnacentral:lncRNA from 1 species
CACAUAACUGCCAUUUUUCGCGCAUAGUAAAUCUUAAUUACCAUACCAGGAUGAUCAAAAUUAUACUCAUGAACACGUUUCGACUCAUCAUUCGUUAAACCGCGGUAGAAAGAAUCCUACAACAAGAGUAAAUAAAUUAGUGAUCAAUGUGAAUUGAUUUGUAUUAACUUGAUGAUUUCUCCUAUGAUCCAUUUCACAUAAUUAGAAGUAGAAAAUGGCAGUGACCUGAUUGACGAGAACAACUCUAUGAUCUUGCAAUUGUUGAAUGAUCAUAUCACACACUGUGGUUUUCCCGGAUGCAGUACCUCCAGAGACUCCUGAUUUAACAAAAGAACAAUGCAGAUCAAAUAAAAACAAAGCACAUGAAACAGAAGCCGAAGCAAGUGAAGAGAUAAAGAGGAAGAUUGUUGUGGAAAUUUACCGAUGAGGAAGACGUUGUUAUGAGAAGAGGAUGAGGUGGAUGAAGAAGGGUGGCAACCGGAGAAAUGCGCAGCGGAGGAGGAGAGAGAUUCCAAUACAGCAGCGUCCAUUGCGCUUUGUUUGUCUAUCACUCUUUCUUCCAACGCUCUUAUAUACUUACGCUUUCUUGUUUUUUUUUUUUUGUAUACUCUUUUUUCCUAACCGCCUUUUUUUCAUUCGUUUUCCAUAGAUUUCAUGAACAUAUCGAAGUUUGAAUCAUGAUUGGCUACUUUGUAGAUAGUAUCUAAUUUGUUACGAGUAAAUAGGUAAAAA